GGAACAGGGUAUUUAUUGAGUGUCUACUGCAUGCCAAGAGCACAGGUUACGCCAUUUGAUCUUCUCAGUAGCCCUGUGAGUACUAUCUUACAGAUAAAGAAACUGAGGCUCACUGGUAACUGUCUCAAGGUCACCGAGUGAAGGACUGAGGGAGGAAUUUAGAUCUGACGCCAAAACCUCUGUUCUCUCCCCACCCCCCACUGCCUCUUUGAGCUUUUGGCUCCUUGUGGAGAAAAGCCGUCCUCACACCACAGUCGAGGCCUGGCCCACUCCAGGCUCCCUAAUCACUCCUUUUCUGGGCCAGGAACAGAGAGGACGCCGUGGUCACGGAGGGACUACCUUUGCCAACUGCUGGUUUUUUCCUCAGAAGAGGAUUUCUCAGUUGUUCGAUUAACUCACUCUGCGUCUCUCCCAGUUGGGGAUGGAGAAGUUGGUUUCCACUCGAUCCUUUUAUCAGGUACCCAACAUGCACCGCGUCUGUCUGCUCUGGGUAGAUUUCCGGAUGCUCCCCUUGGAACCCGCAGGCCUGCGCUCUGUUUCCUGCUCCCUGCCAGGCCUCACCACCCCGCAGCUCUGCUGUUUGCCUGCCUCCCUGACCGCCCCGGCCUCUGCUGGCCAGGCUGCCUGUUUCCACUUCUGGCCCCUCUCCGCAGCGCCAGCUCCACCAGGGCAGACGCCUCGCCUUCCUCCAGGGACCUCGCUGCAGCUCCUCACUAAGCUAGCAGACAGACUUUGUGCCCUGGGGCGUUUUUGUAUCAACUGGGAAA
rnacentral:lncRNA from 1 species